CUAACAAGGGAUCCCCUAGUAACUGCGAGUGAAGCGGGAUGAGCUCAAAUUUUGAAUCUGGCGGUCUUUGGCCGUCCGAGUUGUAAUCUAGAGAAGCGUUUUCCGCGUUGGCCCGUGUACAAGUCUCCUGGAAAGGAGCGUCAUAGAGGGUGAGAAUCCCGUCUUUGACACGGACUACCAGUGCUAUGUGAUGCGCUCUCGACGAGUCGAGUUGUUUGGGAAUGCAGCUCAAAAUGGGUGGUAAAUUCCAUCUAAAGCUAAAUACAGGCGAGAGACCGAUAGCGAACAAGUACCGUGAGGGAAAGAUGAAAAGAACUUUGGAAAGAGAGUUAAACCGUACGUGAAAUUGCUGAAAGGGAAACGCUUGAUGUCAGUCGCGUCGGCCGGGGAUCAACCUUGCUUAACUGCUGGGUGUAUUUCCUGGUCGACGGGUCAGCAUCGGUUUCGGUCGCCGUACAAGGGCGAGGGGAAUGUGGCACUCUCCGGAGUGUGYUAUAGCCUUUCGUCGUAUGCGGUGGUCGGGACUGAGGAACUCAGCACGGCUUCGGUCUGUGCUUAGGAUGCUGGCAUAAUGGCCUUAAGCGACCCGUCUUGAAACACGGACCAAGGAGUCUAACAUGCCUGCGAGUGUUUGGGUGGCAAACUCGAGCGCGUAAUGAAAGUGAAAGUCGAGACCUCUGUCGUGSAGGGCACCGACGCCCGGACCUGAGUCUUUGACGACGGAUCUGCGGUGGAGCAUGCAUGUUGGGACCCGAAAGAUGGUGAACUAUGCCUGAAUAGGGUGAAGCCAGAGGAAACUCUGGUGGAGGCUCGUA
rnacentral:rRNA from 1 species